rnacentral:rRNA from 1 species
UACAGAGGGUGCAAGCGUUAUUCGGAAUCACUGGGCGUAAAGUGCGCGUAGGUGGCUUAGUAAGUUUGGUGUGAAAUACCUCGACUCAAUCGGGGAAGUGCGCCGAAUACUACUUCGCUGGAGCAUGGGAGAAGAGGACGGAAUUCCUGGUGUAGAGGUGAAAUUCGUAGAUAUCAGGAGGAACAACAGUAGCGAAGGCGGUUCUCUAGACCAUUGCUGACACUGAGGCGCGAAAGCGUGUGGAGCAAACAGG